AAAAAGACAAACCCUGAUUUCCGUGCCCAAUAUUUGACCAUCCGUUUUAUUUGAAAAAAUUAAAAAGACAAGCCACGCAUAAAAUAUUAAUCAUGUUUUAUCAUCUAACAAUAAUGAAAAUACGAAUUAUAAAAAAAUUUCAUAUAAGAUGGACAGUCAAAGUUGAACACGCAAACCCAAGGUUUGCCUUUUU
rnacentral:pre_miRNA from 1 species